rnacentral:misc_RNA from 1 species
AACGCACCUUGCACCCUCUGGUAUUCCGGAGGGUACACCUGUUUGAGUGUCGUGAAAUUCUCAACCCUUGCUCCUUUGUUGGAGUUCAAGGGAUUGGACUUGGAGGUCUUUGGCGGUAUCUAUUAGAGAUCGCCUCCUCUUAAAUGCAUUAGUGCGACUCGUUGUUUCGUAACCUUCGGUGUGAUAAUUAUCUACGUCGUCGGAUCCGUUACUGUUAAGAGACGUGCUUUCUAACCGUCCAUUAUUGGACAAUUUUAUGAAACUUGACCUCAAAUCAGGUGGGACUACCCGCUGAACUUAA